rnacentral:pre_miRNA from 10 species
GAGAGCAGUCCUUUGGUGUGAGGUAGUAGGUUGUAAAGUUUGAGGGUCACUUCCCAGAUAUUGGAUGACUAUACUACUUACGUCUUUCCUAAAGUGACUG